rnacentral:rRNA from 1 species
AACGAACGCUGGCGGCAUGCCUAACACAUGCAAGUCGAACGAGACCUUCGGGUCUAGUGGCGCACGGGUGCGUAACGCGUGGGAAUCUGCCCUUAGGUACGGAAUAACUCAGGGAAACUUGAGCUAAUACCGUAUAAUGACUCCGGUCCAAAGAUUUAUCGCCUAAGGAUGAGCCCGCGUCGGAUUAGCUAGUUGGUGAGGUAAAAGCUCACCAAGGCGACGAUCCGUAGCGGUCUGAGAGGAUGAUCAGCCACACUGGGACUGAGACACGGCCAAACUCCUACGGGAGGCAGCAGUGGGGAAGUAAUUGGACAAUGGGCGGC